CUGCAACUUCCCAUCAUCAUCCCUCUGAAUUUCUUGGUUCUAAAUAUGGCAGCGAAACGAUUGUUUGGUGAAUCAAGUAGCGACCCAGAUCACCCAAAUGAGAAACGAAUGAGAACUACACCUUCUUUUGCUUCAGUAAUUACAAAAGCGGUUAAGGUGAAUUCUUUACAGAACUUCUGUAAGGUCAUAGAGCCAAUGCUCAGGAGAGUGGUUAAUGAAGAAGUGGAGAAUAGUCUGAAACGAUGUUCAUCAUCACGCCCUUUCACUCGAUCUCCUUCAUUGCGAAUCCAGGCACCUGAGCCAUCACCAUCUAGCCUGCAACUAAAGUUUAGAAAGGAUCUUUUGCUCCCAAUAUUUACUGGGAGCAAAAUCGUUGAUAUAGAUAAUUCACCCCUUCAAAUCCUUUUAGUAGAUACAAGAGGUGAUCCGAUGGUCCCAACAUCUCUCCCUCACCCAAUCAAAAUAGAAAUCCUCGCUCUUGAUGGAGAUUUCCCUUCUGAUGAUCGGAAUACUUGGAGUAGUGAAGAGUUUGACAACAAUAUAUUGAAGGAGAGAACGGGCAAGCGGCCUUUGCUUGCAGGAGAUUGCUUGAUGGUCACCUUAAGAGAUGGAAUUGCACCACUUGGAGAGAUUGAGUUCACCGAUAAUUCGAGCUGGAUUAGGAGUAGAAAGUUUAGGCUUGCUGCAAGAGUGGUUUCAGGGAGCUCCCCUGGUGUUCGGAUUCGUGAAGCAAUGACUGAAGCUUUUGUUGUCAAGGAUCAUCGCGGAGAAU
rnacentral:misc_RNA from 1 species